UACGAAGGGGGCUAGCGUUGCUCGGAAUUACUGGGCGUAAAGGGCGCGUAGGCGGGUCGUUAAGUUAGAGGUGAAAGCCCAGGGCUCAACCCUGGAAUUGCCUUUGAUACUGGCGGCCUUGAGUAUGGCAGAGGUGUGUGGAACUCCGAGUGUAGAGGUGAAAUUCGUAGAUAUUCGGAAGAACACCAGUGGCGAAGGCGACACACUGGGCCAUUACUGACGCUGAGGUGCGAAAGCGUGGGGAGCAAACAGG
rnacentral:rRNA from 1 species